rnacentral:rRNA from 1 species
GACGAACGCUGGCGGCGUGCUUAACACAUGCAAGUCGAACGGAAAGGCCCUGCUUUUGUGGGGUGCUCGAGUGGCGAACGGGUGAGUAACACGUGAGUAACCUGCCCUUGACUUUGGGAUAACUUCAAGAAACUGGGGCUAAUACCGGAUAGGAGCUCCUGCUGCAUGGUGGGGGUUGGAAAGUUUCGGCGGUUGGGGAUGGACUCGCGGCUUAUCAGCUUGUUGGUGGGGUAGUGGCUUACCAAGGCUUUGACGGGUAGCCGGCCUGAGAGGGUGACCGGCCACAUUGGGACUGAGAUACGGCCCAGACUCCUACGGGAGGCAGCAGUGGGGAAUAUUGCACAAUGGGCGGAAGCCUGAUGCAGCAACGCCGCGUGCGGGAUGACGGCCUUCGGGUUGUAAACCGCUUUCGCCUGUGACGAAGCGUGGGUGACGGUAAUGGGUAAAGAAGCACCGGCUAACUACGU